AUUAUUUUGGCAGAUUAGUGCAUUAAAUUUAGAAUUUAAUUAUGUAAUUAGAAUUACAAAUAAUAC
rnacentral:tRNA from 1 species